rnacentral:misc_RNA from 1 species
UUUCCGUAGGUGAACCUGCGGAAGGAUCAUUAAAAAUGAAGCCGGGAAACCGGUCCUUCUAACCCUUGAUUAUCUUAAUUUGUUGCUUUGGUGGGCCGCGCAAGCACCGGCUUCGGCUGGAUCGUGCCCGCCAGAGGACACAACUCUGUAUCAAAUGUCGUCUGAGUACUAUAAAAUGGUUAAAACUUUCAACAACGGAUCUCUUGGUUCUG